rnacentral:rRNA from 1 species
GACGAACGCUGGCGGCGUGCCUAAUACAUGCAAGUUGAGCGCUGAAGGUUGGUACUUGUACCGACUGGAUGAGCAGCGAACGGGUGAGUAACGCGUGGGGAAUCUGCCUUUGAGCGGGGGACAACAUUUGGAAACGAAUGCUAAUACCGCAUAAAAACUUUAAACACAAGUUGUAAGUUUGAAAGAUGCAAUUGCAUCACUCAAAGAUGAUCCCGCGUUGUAUUAGCUAGUUGGUGAGGUAAAGGCUCACCAAGGCGAUGAUACAUAGCCGACCUGAGAGGGUGAUCGGCCACAUUGGGACUGAGACACGGCCCAAACUCCUACGGGAGGCAGCAGUAGGGAAUCUUCGGCAAUGGACGAAAGUCUGACCGAGCAACGCCGCGUGAGUGAAGAAGGUUUUCGGAUCGUAAAACUCUGUUGGUAGAGAAGAACGUUGGUGAGAGUGGAAAGCUCAUCAAGCGACGGUAACUACCCAGAAAGGGACGGCUAACUACGUG